AUUGAACGCUGGCGGCAGGCCUAACCCAUGCAAGUCGAACGAGUGGCGGACGGGUGAGUAAUGUCUGGGAACCUGCCUGAUGGAGGGGGAUAACUACUGGAAACGGUAGCUAAUACCGCAUACCAUCGGAUGUGCCAAGAGGGGAUUAGCUAGUCGGGGGGGUAAAGGCUCACCUGGGCGACGAUCCCUAGCUGGUCUGAGAGGAUGACCAGCAACACUGGAACUGAGACACGGUCCAGGCUCCUACGGGAGGCAGCAGUGGGGAAUAUUGCACAAUGGGCGCAAGCCGGAGGCAGCAAUGCCGCGUGUAUGAAGAAGGCCUUAGGGUUGUAAAGUACUUUCAGCGGGGAGGCGUUACCCGCAGAAGAAGCACCGGCUAACUCCGUGCCAGCAGCCGCGGUAAUUC
rnacentral:rRNA from 1 species